ensembl:lncRNA
UGUGUUUAGAUGUAUUCAGUUUGUAUGAGAGGAGGUAGUUACAAGUUAGAAAGCAAACAAAAGUUUUUUAGAUUCCAAACCCUGAAAUUUAAGUGGAUGAAUUUGUUACAAGGAAAAAAAAUAAAAGUCUUACUCAACUAUUUCUGUUUCCUAAUGACAAACUUUAUAUCAUAUUUGAAAGUAAGCCUAUCUUUGGAAAAAUGAGUACAAGUCUCCACUAAGAAACAAACUAAAUGUAAAAGAAAACAAAGGGAAACUGGAGUGAAGCUGGAACAGUAGCAGUGGAGUAAGCUACUCUAUGGAGAUGAUGAAACAACUGCUCUGGACUCUAUAGCAGGACCAGCUGCUGUCUCAUAUAGGCAGUCCCCAUAGCACAGCCAGCUGAUGGCACUGAAUGGUAGGAAGAGGAGAAUCCUGUGGCAAAAGUUUGGUAACACUUGGUACACCAAAGCUGCAUUAUUACAGGUGAAUGCAUACUGUGCCGAAGAGUGCUGUAAAGAAGAGACUAGGAAUGGAAUGAGAAAAAAAAAAAGAUGCUACUCAUUUCAGAUUUUGAAAGCAAGCAAAGUAAUUUUUUAUAGCAGAUGGAUGUUUCUAAAGUACAUUGUCUUUAGCCAUGGGUGAAAUGUGAGGAGAAUGUU